UAUACAAACUCAAUGGGUACACUUGACACACUGCAUGUUUUGCAUCCUAGGAAUUGUGUCAGACGAAGAAGUGGCCUCUACCAUGGUACACCUAUCUGGACGCACAGCCUAACCACGUCUGCUGUGGCAAUGUGACCGUGUUGAGACACGAUGGUGAAAUUCACAUACGUCUGACAGGUUACGGGACCUCGAAGAAGGCUGCGCGAAGUGCAGCGGCUGAACAAAUUCUACAACUCACGCUGUCAAUUGCACGGCUCGCAGACCUAGAGUCUGUGGAUUGAAGAGGACUAUGUCUGCAAUCAUAGACACGAGAGACACUAACACCACUUCUAACCAUUCAGUUAUAGCUAACGGAGACUUGUGCUCCUGGAGCAUGGCUGUGCUCGUGUUGUUGACUGUGAUCUUGUUUAUGUAUGGCUUGUAUUGCAUCAAUGUGCUAUGUACAAGAAAGAGAAGAUACGUGAGUUUGCCUGAGAUCACUGUAUGAAUGUACAAUACAUGCAAAUGUGUUUCUUUGCAAAUAAACAUCCAAAGACUUCAACUG